rnacentral:rRNA from 1 species
UGCUUCCCUUGAGAGCGGCGGACGGGUGAGUAACACCUGGGAAUCUGCCUGGUAGUGGGGGAUAACGUUCCGAAAGGAACGCUAAUACCGCAUACGUCCUACGGGAGAAAGCAGGGGAUCUUCGGACCUUGCGCUAUCAGAUGAGCCCAGGUCGGAUUAGCUAGUAGGUGAGGUAAUGGCUCACCUAGGCGACGAUCCGUAACUGGUCUGAGAGGAUGAUCAGUCACACUGGAACUGAGACACGGUCCAGACUCCUACGGGAGGCAGCAGUGGGGAAUAUUGGACAAUGGGCGCAAGCCUGAUCCAGCCAUGCCGCGUGUGUGAAGAAGGUCUUCGGAUUGUAAAGCACUUUAAGUUGGGAGGAAGGGAAGUAAGUUAAUACCUUGCUUCUUUGACGUUACCGACAGAAUAAGCACCGGCUAACUCUGUGCCAGCAGCCGCGGUAAUACAGAGGGUGCAAGCGUUAAUCGGAAUUACUGGGCGUAAAGCGCGCGUAGGUGGCUAAGUAAGAUGGGUGUGAAAUCCCCGGGCUCAACCUGGGAACUGCAUCCAUAACUGCUUGGCUAGAGUACGGUAGAGGGUAGUGGAAUUUCCUGUGUAGC